rnacentral:rRNA from 1 species
UACGUAGGCAGCGAGCGUUAUUCGGAUUUACUGGGCGUAAAGGGCGCGUAGGCGGUCAGCACAAGUCAGUUGUGAAAUCUCCGAGCUUAACUCGGAAAGGUCAACUGAUACUGUGCGACUAGAGUGCAGAAGGGGCAACUGGAAUUCUCGGUGUAGCGGUGAAAUGCGUAGAUAUCGAGAGGAACACCUGCGGCGAAGGCGGGUUGCUGGGCUGACACUGACGCUGAGGCGCGAAAGCUAGGGGAGCGAACGGG